AAAUGUUUGCCAGCCGAGCAGCGCCAAUCGCUACAAAAACGGCGGAGCCUAUUCUGAUCGACAAAGGGCUGAAUUAAUUAUUUUCUUCUCACUGGAUCCUGCCGUGGAUUGCAGGCAUUGCAAUGCUAGAAAUUUCAACAACUUCGAAGCUCUCUUGUGCUGAAAGCUCGACCGUGAGAGCUCCAUUAGAAACAUGGUAAAUUGUUAAAUUUGCCACAAAUCAUUAGAUCAUUUUUCCAAUGCCUAAUGCCUGACGGUGUCCUUUGAGUAUCUAAGUGCACACCAACUGAAGAUGAUGUUUACAUUGAUAUUAUGCUUUCAAUUUUUCAUCCCGCACAUUUCGGCUCGUCACCUCCCCCUGUGGUUGGAGCAGAUGCGCAUGCUUAGAAGCCAAUCGGAAAAUCGAGAACGCUUUGUGCGAUUCAGCGUUGGCAACGAGACUCAGACCAGCUAUGGAAACAUUGUGCCCAAAGUUCCAAUGGACACGAUCAAACAGGAAUACAUGAGUGACCAUGAAGAACAAUCUCCCAAUGAAUCACACUUCUCAAGUUUUCAUCCCUUCGCACUCAUGUCAAACCACGGGAAAAUGCUGCUAAGUCAUUCACCUAAACAACAUGCUAGUCCCUUUAAAAUGCUUCAACGCUCUAUGAAUAUGACAAGAAACCAUUCUUCUGCGCAGCUUAUAGACUUUCUUGCAAAACAAGUGCAGCUCCUAAACUUGCGAACAGAUCUUGAACAUGCAAAAAUGCAGUCAAGAUCAAACGAAUCGGCUGAAGAUACUGUGAACUCCAACCCGAAACCAAGAGUUACUGAGAAGGAUCCAAACUCCCCCAAUGAGAAAAGGAUUCUGAGACAUAAGGAAGGACACGCAUCCGAAGUCGCUGUCAUCGUCUGCAUGUUUGUCGUCAUGGUGGCAUUCUCGUACGGAAUUUACUACUGGAAGAAGCGGAAGGACAGCUCGAGACAGACAAGAUCGUUCCUUGACAGGACUUCCAACAACAAUCAGUCGAGCGAAAACGCGUGACUUGAGAUAUCUUGUCUAUAGGAUAGAUGCACUGACUGUAAGGUCGUUCGCGUACAUUAAUUGUGCAUAAUGCACAAUGUGCAUCAAUUAACCUUGCAUAAAUACUUAUUUGGUCGGAUGGUGAAGUCGUGAUAGCAUGAUUGGCAUCGUCUUCAGACUUGCCAGCUGAAUGUUGUGUUAUGGCUUAUCAGUGUUAAUUACAGUGCCAGCUUCCUUCCUUCAUGACUUGUUGCUUCAGCAAUUACUUUGGGCUUGCAGUCAUAGUCAGUCAUUUGUAGUGUGUGCUUCUCUUCUUUUUCGAUCGGCGAUUUUCGCCGAUGCAAAUGCAAUGACGACUUUGGUGUCAUUUGGUUGAUGCGCCGAAAUACACCUGCUGGAAGA